rnacentral:rRNA from 1 species
CCCUUAGAUGUUCUGGGCCGUACGCGCGCUACACUGAUGAACGCAACGAGCUCCUCCCUUAUUCGAAAGAAUUGGGUAAACUUGUGAAAGUUCAUCGUGAUGGGGAUAGAUUAUUGCAAUUAUUAAUCUUCAACGAGGAAUUCCUAGUAAGCGUGAGUCAUCAGCUCACGUUGAUUACGUCCCUGCCCUUUGUACACACCGCCCGUCGCUCCUACCGAUUGAAUGGUCCGGUGAAAUCUUCGGAUUGCUGACCAUGGCAUUUAUUUGUCUUGGUUGCGAGAAGUUGAUUAAACCUUAUCAUUUAGAGGAAGGAGAAGUCGUANCA